GAAUCUUGGAAUGAACCUUCGGGGGAAUGAAGAGAUGGAGAGCGGCGGACGGGUGAGUAACGCGUAGGCAACCUGCCCUUUGCAGAGGGAUAGCCACUGGAAACGGUGAUUAAAACCUCAUAAUGCUAAGAUGUCACAUGGCAAUUUAGUCAAAGAUUCAUCGGCAAAGGAUGGGCCUGCGUCUGAUUAGAUAGUUGGUGAGGUAACGGCUCACCAAGUCAACGAUCAGUAGCCGACCUGAGAGGGUAAUCGGCCACAUUGGAACUGAGACACGGUCCAAACUCCUACGGGAGGCAGCAGUGGGGAAUAUUGCACAAUGGGGGAAACCCUGAUGCAGCAACGCCGCGUGAAGGAAGAAGGCCUUUGGGUCGUAAACUUCUGUCCUAAGGGAAGAUAAUGACGGUACCUUUGGAGGAAGCCCCGGCUAACUACGUGCCAGCAGCCGCGGUAAUACGUAGGGGGCGAGCGUUAUCCGGAAUUAUUGGGCGUAAAGAGUGCGUAGGCGGUUUUUUAAGCGCGGGGUGAAAGGCAGUGGCUUAACCACUGUUAGCCCUGCGAACUGGGAGACUUGAGUGCAGGAGAGGAAAGCGGAAUUCCUAGUGUAGCGGUGAAAUGCGUAGAUAUUAGGAGGAACACCAGUGGCGAAGGCGGCUUUCUGGACUGUAACUGACGCUGAGGCACGAAAGUGUGGGGAGC
rnacentral:rRNA from 1 species